GCAGCUAGCCGGGUAGCAGGCGGCGCGUGAGGCCGCUAGGCUGUGAUCCUGCCCCGGGUCUCAGGGAUGGAGGAUGGGAACGUCUGAACAGAGUGGCAUCUUGGGGUUAGAAAGCUCGACCUGGGCAGUACAGCUAUGGGACAGAGUUCCUGGAUAGAGGCUGCGCCAGGAAGCCUAAGUGAAAGGGUGGAAGUGGAUGGUCUCUUAUGGAGGGGGUGUGGGAGCCCAGGGUCGUCACAUCCGGGGAGGGUGGGUGGGAACGUGAAUGGGCGAGAUCCCGGAGGAGGAACCCUCCCAUGUUGUGGAAACUAACUGAGGGCCUGGAAGAGACCAGGCGGGAAUCGAGUAACAAUCCGAGGUGCAGGCUUUGGGACCAGGUGGUCACCUUGGUCUUAGAUGAAUGGCACAUAUGAUCGGUAACCAUCGUGAAAGCUGUGGAUGUCUCUUGUGGAAGGAAAAUAACAUCUCGGGACCCUAAACUCUGCCAAAGAAAAAAGUUAAGCUUAGGGCCGGGCGCAGUGGCUCACACCUGUAAUACUAGCACAAUGCUCAUCUCAGGAGGCCAAGGCCAGCAGAUCAUCUGAGGUCAGGCAUUCGAGACUACCCUGGCCAACAUGGUGAAACCCUGUCUCUACUAAAAAUACAAAAAUUAGCCAGGCGUGGUGGUGCAUGCCUGUAAUCCCAGCUACUUGGGAGGUUAAAGCAGGAGAAUCUCUUGAACCCGAAAGUGGAGGUUGCAGUGAGUGGAGAUCGUGCUCUGGUGUGCACUCCAGCCUGGACGACAGAGCGAGACCCUGUCUCAACAACAACAACAACAAAAAGUUAAGCUUGUGAACUGAGUCACGCAAAAACUGCCUUCCUUCUGUUCCCAAACAGCUUCAAAGACAGAAGCCCACGUAUCUCCCCAGGUGGCCUCCCAGAGGAGUUACUCACAGGGAAAUUCCUUGUCUAUAGAAAAUAACUCAACCAAUUGCCAGUCAGAGAAAACUGAAUCUGCCUGUGACCUGGAAGUGUUGCCCCCUGACCCCACAUCAAUGCUUUGAGUUGUCCCACCUUUCUGGAUGUUCCGUGUGGGAGAUGCGUGAGGGGAGAAGAAAAGACACGUACACAAUACCUUUAAGGGUAAACAACCUUUAUCCCAUGUAAAUGGCAAGGCAGAUAUAAUAAGAAAAUUGCAAUGGGAAGGGUAGAAGGGAAAAUAUAUAUAUAUACCGAUCAGACUAUGGAGGAUUUAUCACAAGACCAAGAAGCAACGGCCUGGGUUCCAAACUCGAACACUACACUCACCAGACUAUGGAGGAUUCACCACGAGACUGGGAAGCAACAGCCUGGGUUCCAGAGUUGGCCACUCCUCCUUGCACAGACGAGGAAAGGUCUCCUGAAGCUUCGGCUGGGCCUGGGACCCUAGCUCAUUUUCUAACAAGUUGUUUGGCAUGACUCCCAGUCACAAGGGCCCUUCACAACUGGGCUGAAGGAACACAAAAAGGUCAACUUGUUUUUGCUAUUGUCUAUUGUUUUUCAAUAACUAAUGUGUAGGAAUAGAUUGAAAUAGAGAUUUCUCUGAAACAGCGCUGGAUGAAAGCUUCAAGGGACUCACAAAACCUGUUCCAGGACUUGGUGACUAUUGUUUGUGUACAGGUUCAAUUGAAUUCAGAUUUAAUAUUUAACUUUGCCUCCACGCUAGACCAAACCAAUAUACAUCUUACAUGUAGUAAUGUCUUAUAACUCCCUAAAAUGUAUAAAGUCAAGCUGUAACCUGACCACCUUGGACACAUGUUCUCAGGAUCCCCUGGGGCUCUGUCAUGGACCAUUGUGAGGUGGGAAGUGGGACUCUGUUCUGGAGGCAGAGUUUGGACACUGGAUCAAGUUGGGGACUAGCUGAAACAGGGCAGGGGUGGAAGCAGCUUUCCAUAAGAUGCCCACCAGUAUGCCAUGUCAGUUUACUAUUGCCGUGGCAACACCUGAACAUUACCCUCCCCUUUUCAUGGCAAUGACCUGAUGACCUGGAAGUUACCACCCUCAUUCUCUACAUUUCUGUGUAAAUCACCCCUUAAUUUGUAUAUAGUUAAAAGUGGGUAUAAAUAUGACUGCAUAACUGUCUCUGAGCUGCUCUUCUGGGCACUGCCUGUGAGUAGCCCUGCUCCACAAGGAGCAGCCCCUCUGCUGCAGCUGUGCACUGCUGCUUCAAUGCAAGUUGCUAUUUAACACCACCAGCUCACCACUGGAUUGUUUCCUGGGCGAAGCCAAGAACCCUCCCAGGCAAAGCCCCAAUUUUGGGGCUUUCCUGUCUUGCAUCAGUUGGUCCCUCAUGGCUCAGAAUAAAUCUCUUCAAGUAUUUUACA